UACGUAGGGUGCGAGCGUUGUCCGGAAUUAUUGGGCGUAAAGAGCUUGUAGGCGGUUUGUCGCGUCUGCCGUGAAAUUUCGAGGCUCAACCUCGAACUUGCGGUGGGUACGGGCAGACUAGAGUGUGGUAGGGGAGACUGGAAUUCCUGGUGUAGCGGUGAAAUGCGCAGAUAUCAGGAGGAACACCGGUGGCGAAGGCGGGAUCCUGGGCCAGUACUGACGCUGAGGAGCGAAAGCGUGGGGAGCAAACAGG
rnacentral:rRNA from 1 species